rnacentral:rRNA from 1 species
GAUGAACGCUGGCGGCGUGCCUAAUACAUGCAAGUCGAGCGAACAGACGAGGAGCUUGCUCCUCUGACGUUAGCGGCGGACGGGUGAGUAACACGUGGAUAACCUACCUAUAAGACUGGGAUAACUUCGGGAAACCGGAGCUAAUACCGGAUAAUAUGUUGAAUCGCAUGGUUCAACAGUGAAAGACGGUCUUGCUGUCACUUAUAGAUGGAUCCGCGCCGCAUUAGCUAGUUGGUAAGGUAACGGCUUACCAAGGCAACGAUGCGUAGCCGACCUGAGAGGGUGAUCGGCCACACUGGAACUGAGACACGGUCCAGACUCCUACGGGAGGCAGCAGUAGGGAAUCUUCCGCAAUGGGCGAAAGCCUGACGGAGCAACGCCGCGUGAGUGAAGAAGGUCUUCGGAUGGUAAAACUCUGUUAUUAGGGAAGAACAAAUGUGUAAGUAACUAUGCACGUCUUGACGGUACCUAAGCAGAAAGCCACGGCUAACUACGU